AUGCUCGCUUCGGCAGCGCAUAUACUAAAAUCGGAAUGAUACAGAGAAGAUCAGCAUGGCCCCUGCGCAAGGAUGACACACAAUUCAUGAAGUGUUCCAUAUUUAA
rnacentral:snRNA from 1 species